rnacentral:rRNA from 1 species
UACGGAGGGUGCAAGCGUUAAUCGGAAUAAUUGGGCGUAAAGGGCGCGUAGGUGGUGUACUGAGUCUGCUGUGAAAGACCUGGGCUUAACCUGGGGAUGUCAGCGGAGACGGGUAUACUGGAGUGCAGGAGAGGGUCGUGGAAUUUCCGGUGUAGCGGUGAAAUGCGUAGAGAUCGGAAGGAACACCAGUGGCGAAGGCGGCGGCCUGGCCUGCAACUGACACUGAGGCGCGAAAGCGUGGGGAGCAAACAGG